UGACCAGUAAAGGGUUUUCAGGGCAGGGGCAUUAUGAGAGCUGGACAUUGGAAGAGCUGGAGGUACCAAGCAAAGGUGAAGAGAGUGGAGGUGGGGUGUGUUUGAGCCCCAGCCAACAGGGGCUGCUUGAGACCACGCCUGCCAUUGCCUUAGCUUCACAGCCUUUGCUCUCAGCUCUUCACUGCAGGGUCUUCUUUCAGCCUCCUGGCCCUUUGUUCAUUGGUGACGGGGAUCAGGGGUGCAGGACCGUCUGUCCCAGCUGCCGCCCAUGCCAUGCAGCCACUCUCAGGAAGCGUUGAGUUCCCUCAGCUCCAGGAACAAUUCCCACUACUUGGAAGAACCUGUUCAUUUGCCUGAGCUUCUUCCGGACCAUCUGUUCACUGAGUUCCAGGAAGGAGUUGAGCCAUGAGGAGGUGACCAGGCGGAAGUCGCGGAGGAACCGGGCUGUGUCCCGGCGCAUCAGCCCCAUCAUGCCCAGCGCCUCCUCGGAGCUGGAUGACUUCUCAGCCUCCCCACCUGCCGAGCGACCGCGGGGUGCUCUCUGGGCUCUGGGUCAAUGACGAAGCGGCCGCUGGUGAAAAGGGAGCUGGCUGUCCC